UACGUAGGGUGCAAGCGUUGUCCGGAAUUAUUGGGCGUAAAGAGCUCGUAGGCGGUCUGUCGCGUCGGCUGUGAAAACUCGGGGCUCAACCCCGAGCCUGCAGUCGAUACGGGCAGACUAGAGUGCUGUAGGGGAGACUGGAAUUCCUGGUGUAGCGGUGAAAUGCGCAGAUAUCAGGAGGAACACCGGUGGCGAAGGCGGGUCUCUGGGCAGUAACUGACGCUGAGGAGCGAAAGCCAGGGGAGCAAACGGG
rnacentral:rRNA from 1 species